AGCAGCCGCGGUAAUUCCAGCUCCAAUAGCGUAUAUUAAAGUUGUUGCAGUUAAAAAGCUCGUAGUUGAACUUCGGGGUCUACCCAUUGGUCAGGCUUAAUUGUCUGCACUGGUGAGAUAGAUCUCUACCUUCUGAGGAACUUUCAUGCCAUUUAUUUGGUGUGAUGGGAAAUCAGGACUGUUACUUUGAAAAAAUUAGAGUGUUUAAAGCAGACUAUCGUCUGAAUACAUUAGCAUGGAAUAAUGAAAUAGGACGGACUGAUUCUAUUUCGUUGGUUUCUAGGAUCACCGUAAUGAUUAAUAGGGAUAGUUGGGGGCAUUAGUAUUCAAUUGUCAGAGGUGAAAUUCUUGGAUUUAUUGAAGACUAACUACUGCGAAAGCAUUUUGCCAAGGAUGUUUUCAUUAAUCAAGAACGAAAGUUAGGGGAUCGAAGACGAUCAGAUACCGUCG
rnacentral:rRNA from 1 species